rnacentral:misc_RNA from 1 species
CCAAUAGCGUAUAUUAAAGUUGUUGCAGUUAAAAAGCUCGUAGUUGAAUUUCGGGAUUAGUACGCUGGUCGUGCCUUCGGUAUGUACUGGUGUUACUGGUUCCUACCUUCUGACGAACCGUCAUGUCAUUAAUUUGGUGUGGCGGGAAAUCAGGACUGUUACUUUGAAAAAAUUAGAGUGUUUAAAGCAGGCUCGCGCUUGAAUACAUUAGCAUGGAAUAAUGAAAUAGGACGUUCGAUCCUAUUUUGUUGGUUUCUAGGAUUGACGUAAUGAUUAAUAGGGAUAGUUGGGGGCAUUAGUAUUCAAUUGUCAGAGGUGAAAUUCUUGGAUUUAUUGAAGACUAACUACUGCGAAAGCAUUUGCCAAGGAUGUUUUCAUUAAGCAAGAACGAAAGUUAGGGGAUCGAAGACGAUCAGAUACCGUCGUAGUCUUAACCAUAAACUAUGCCGACUAGGGAUCGGAUGAUGUUAUUUUUAAUGACUCAUUCGGCGCCUUACG